GGGAGUGUAGUUCAGUGGUAGAGCAUUUGCAUAGCAUGCAAGAGGCCCUGAGUUUGAUCCCCAGCACCA
rnacentral:tRNA from 1 species